rnacentral:rRNA from 1 species
UGCAGUCGAACGAGAAAGCCCGCAAGGGUGAGUAAAGUGGCGUACGGGUGAGUAACACGUGGGUAAUCUACCUUCUGGUGGGGAAUAACGCUGGGAAACCGGCGCUAAUACCGCAUAAUCCCGCAAGGGGAAAGGAGAAAUUCGCCGGAAGAGGAGCCCGCGGCUGAUUAGCUAGUUGGUGAGGUAAUGGCUCACCAAGGCAAUGAUCGGUAGCCGGCCUGAGAGGGCACACGGCCACACUGGCACUGAAACACGGGCCAGACUCCUACGGGAGGCAGCAGUGGGGAAUCUUGCACAAUGGGGGAAACCCUGAUGCAGCGACGCCGCGUGAGCGAUGAAGCCCUUCGGGGUGUAAAGCUCUUUCGGCAGGAACGAUAAUGACGGUACCUGAAGAAGAAGCUGCGGCUAACUACGUGCCAGCAGCCGCGGUAAUACGUAGGCAGCAAGCGUUGUUCGGAGUUACUGGGCGUAAAGAGUGCGUAGGCGGUGCUCUAAGUUUGGUGUGAAAUCUCCCGGCUUAACUGGGAGGGUGCGCCGAAAACUGGAGUGCUUGAGUAUGGGAGAGGCAAGCGGAAUUCCUGGUGUAGCGGUGAAAUGCGUAGAUAUCAGGAGGAACACCUGUGGUGUAGACAGCUUGCUGGACCAUCACUGACGCUGAGGCACGAAAGCGUGGGUAGCAAACAGGAUUAGAUACCCUG